ensembl:lncRNA novel transcript
CCAUGCCAAGAGGAAGCCCAGCCCCUUCAUGUUUGAAAGAGGGGAUUGAAUGGAAUUGCUGUGUUUCCGGAAGAACGUGCAUCUUGCAAGAAGCCCUGGAAUCUGCUGCCCGGCACAGAAUGUCGGUCAGGGUUGAACCCCUCUCUCUCCGGCUUUGCUUGGCUUUCCUUUCACCACCUGUUACCUCAUUUCAUUCAGAAUUCCUGUUGGUUUCUGCGCUGGAAUCCCUGAUUUUCCUCAAGUGUGGAAAACACAGCACUGAUGAGAUACCAGUUGCUUUUCAGCGGUAAACUGACAGACUUGUAA